rnacentral:rRNA from 1 species
UGGGGAAUAUUGGGCAAUGGGGGCAACCCUGACCCAGCAACGCCGCGUGAGGGAAGAAGGUCUUCGGAUUGUAAACCACUGUCCUUGGGGACGAAAAAAAUGACGGUACCCAAGGAGGAAGCUCCGGCUAACUACGUGCCAGCAGCCGCGGUAAUACGUAGGGAGCAAGCGUUGUCCGGAAUUACUGGGUGUAAAGGGUGCGUAGGCGGUUUGUUAAGUCAGAUGUGAAAUACCCGGGCUCAACCCGGGGGGUGCAUCUGAAACUGGCAGACUUGAGUGCAGGAGAGGAAAGCGGAAUUCCUAGUGUAGCGGUGAAAUGCGUAGAUAUUAGGAGGAACACCAGUGGCGAAGGCGGCUUUCUGGACUGUAACUGACGCUGAGGCACGAAAGCGUGGGGAGCAAACA